GACGAACGCUGGCGGCGUGCUUAACACAUGCAAGUCGAACGGAAAGGCCCUGCUUUUGUGGGGUGCUCGAGUGGCGAACGGGUGAGUAACACGUGAGUAACCUGCCCUUGACUUUGGGAUAACUUCAGGAAACUGGGGCUAAUACCGGAUAGGAGCUCCUGCUGCAUGGUGGGGGUUGGAAAGUUUCGGCGGUUGGGGAUGGACUCGCGGCUUAUCAGCUUGUUGGUGGGGUAGUGGCUUACCAAGGCUUUGACGGGUAGCCGGCCGGAGAGGGUGACCGGCCACAUUGGGACUGAGGUACGGCCCAGACUCCUACGGGAGGCAGCAGUGGGGAAUAUUGCACAAUGGGCGGAAGCCUGAUGCAGCAACGCCGCGUGCGGGAUGACGGCCUUCGGGUUGUAAACCGCUUUCGCCUGUGACGAAGCGUGAGUGACGGUAAUGGGUAAAGAAGCACCGGCUAACUACGUG
rnacentral:rRNA from 1 species